UAGUUGGUGGGGUAAAGGCCUACCAAGGCGACGAUCUGUAGCGGGUCUGAGAGGAUGAUCCGCCACACUGGAACUGAGACACGGUCCAGACUCCUACGGGAGGCAGCAGUGGGGAAUUUUGGACAAUGGGGGCAACCCUGAUCCAGCCAUGCCGCGUGAGCGAAGAAGGCCUUCGGGUUGUAAAGCUCUUUCGUCCGGGAAGAAAUCGCACAGGCUAAUACUCUGUGUGGAUGACGGUACCAGAAUAAGAAGCACCGGCUAACUACGUGCCAGCAGCCGCGGUAAUACGUAGGGUGCGAGCGUUAAUCGGAAUUACUGGGCGUAAAGCGUGCGCAGGCGGUUUUGUAAGACAGGCGUGAAAUCCCCGGGCUCAACCUGGGAACUGCGCUUGUGACUGCAAGGCUAGAGUACGGCAGAGGGGGGUGGAAUUCCACGUGUAGCAGUGAAAUGCGUAGAGAUGUGGAGGAACACCGAUGGCGAAGGCAGCCCCCUGGGCCGAUACUGACGCUCAUGCACGAAAGCGUGGGUAGCAAACAGGAUUAGAUACCCUGGUAGUCCACGCCCUAAACGAUGUCAACUAGGUGUUGGGUGGGUAAAACCAUUUAGUACCGUAGCUAACGCGUGAAGUUGACCGCCUGGGGAGUACGGCCGCAAGGUUAAAACUCAAAGGAAUUGACGGGGACCCGCACAAGCGGUGGAUGAUGUGGAUUAAUUCGAUGCAACGCGAAAAACCUUACCUACCCUUGACAUGUCCGGAAUCCCUGAGAGAUUGGGGAGUGCCCGAAAGGGAAUCGGAACACAGGUGCUGCAUGGCUGUCGUCAGCUCGUGUCGUGAGAUGUUGGGUUAAGUCCCGCAACGAGCGCAACCCUUGUCGUUAAUUGCCAUCAUUAAGUUGGGCACUUUAGCGAGACUGCCGG
rnacentral:rRNA from 1 species